GACGAACGCUGGCGGCGUGCUUAACACAUGCAAGUCGAACGGAAAGGCCCUGCUUUUGUGGGGUGCUCGAGUGGCGAACGGGUGAGUAACACGUGAGUAACCUGCCCUUGACUUUGGGAUAACUUCAGGAAACUGGGGCUAAUACCGGAUAGGAGCUCCUGCUGCAUGGUGGGGGUUGGAAAGUUUCGGCGGUUGGGGAUGGACUCGCGGCUUAUCAGCUUGUUGGUGGGGUAGUGGCUUACCAAGGCUUUGACGGGUAGCCGGCCUGAGAGGGUGACCGGCCACAUUGGGACUGAGAUACGGCCCAGACUCCUACGGGAGGCAGCAGUGGGGAAUAUUGCACAAUGGGCGGAAGCCUGAUGCAGCAACGCCGCGUGCGGGAUGACGGCCUUCGGGUUGUAAACCGCUUUCGCCUGUGACGAAGCGUGAGUGACGGUAAUGGGUAAAGAAGCACCGGCUAACUACGUGCCAGCAGCCGCGGUGAUACGUAGGGUGCGAGCGUUGUCCGGAUUUAUUGGGCGUAAAGGGCUCGUAGGUGGUUGAUCGCGUCGGAAGUGUAAUCUUGGGGCUUAACCCUGAGCGUGCUUUCGAUACGGGUUGACUUGAGGAAGGUAGGGGAGAAUGGAAUUCCUGGUGGAGCGGUGGAAUGCGCAGAUAUCAGGAGGAACACCAGUGGCGAAGGCGGUUCUCUGGGCCUUUCCUGAUGCUGAGGAGCGAAAGCGUGGGGAGCGAACAGGCUUAGAUACCCUGGUAGUCCACGCUGUAAACGGUGGGUACUAGGUGUGGGGUCCAUUCCACGGGUUCCGUGCCGUAGCUAACGCUUUAAGUACCCCGCCUGGGGAGUACGGCCGCAAGGCUAAAACUCAAAGGAAUUGACGGGGCCCCGCACAAGCGGCGGAGCAUGCGGAUUAAUUCGAUGCAACGCGUAGAACCUUACCUGGGUUUGACAUGGAUCGGGAGUGCUCAGAGAUGGGUGUGCCUCUUUUGGGGUCGGUUCACAGGUGGUGCAUGGCUGUCGUCAGCUCGUGUCGUGAGAUGUUGGGUUAAGUCCCGCAACGAGCGCAACCCUUGUUCACUGUUGCCAGCACGUUAUGGUGGGGACUCAGUGGAGACCGCCGGGGUCAACUCGGAGGAAGGUGGGGAUGACGUCAAGUCAUCAUGCCCCUUAUGUCCAGGGCUUCACGCAUGCUACAAUGGCUGGUACAGAGAGUGGCGAGCCUGUGAGGGUGAGCGAAUCUCGGAAAGUCGGUCUCAGUUCGGAUUGGGGUCUGCAACUCGACCUCAUGAAGUCGGAGUCGCUAGUAAUCGCAGAUCAGCAACGCUGCGGUGAAUACGUUCCCGGGGCU
rnacentral:rRNA from 1 species